rnacentral:rRNA from 1 species
AUGGGCAAAACAUCUGCUUCUGGUGUUGUUCAGGAGAAUGAAAAAGUUGGGAAUGGUUCACCCUCUUCUCCUACCAAGGGGAAAAGGGGAAGGAAAGGGUCCCAGAUUAUAGCAAAUAAAAAGUAUCCCCUGAGAUCUGCACAUAGUAGUACCAGGGUGCUUCGAUCUACUUCAAAAGACAAGAGUAAGACGCCUAAUGAGCCAGUAAGUCCAUUGAGAUCCGCUCAUAGUAGUCCCAGGGUUCUUCGAUCUACCCCUAAAAACAAGAGCAAGACACCUAAAAAGCAAGUAAAUUCAUUGAGGUCCGCACAUAGUAGUGCCAGGGUGCUUAGCUCUACCUUGAAGAAAAAGGUACCUAAUGAGCCAGUAAACGACAGUACUGCUGCUCAACCAGCUGCCAGGAAAAGGAAAAGAGGCAGGCCCUCAAAUGCAGCUAGUCCCAAGAAUGAGUGCAUCAAAAUUCGCCAGCGAGUUAGAUACAUUUUGAAUCGAAUGAACUACGAACAAAGUUUCAUUCAAGCAUACGCUGGUGAAGGUUGGAAAGGUCAAAGUUUGGAAAAAAUAAGACCUGAGAAGGAGCUUGAGCGAGCCAAGGCAGAAAUCUUGCGAUGCAAGUUAAGAAUUCGGGAAGCUUUUCGUAAUAUGGAUUCUCUUCUAUUGGAGGGGAAGCUUGACGAAUCUUUGUUUGAUUCUGAGGGAGAAAUAUCUAGUGAAGAUAUUUUCUGUGCCAUAUGUGCUUCAAAGCAUGUUACACUAAAAAAUGAUAUCAUUCUUUGCGAUGGAGUGUGUGAUAGAGGAUUCCACCAGAAAUGUUUGAAUCCUCCUUUGCUGGCAGAAGAUAUUCCUCAGGGGGAUGAAGGAUGGCUUUGCCCUGCGUGCGAUUGCAAGCUAGAUUGUAUUGAUUUACUAAAUGAACUCCAAGGGAGCACACUUGCUAUGCAUGACUCAUGGGAGAAAGUUUUUCCUGAGUCAACUUCAAAUGGCUUAAACCAAAUUGGAGCAUCUGAUCUUCCAUCCGAUGAUUCAGAGGAGGAUUAUGACCCUACUUUAGCUGAAGGGGACACGGUAGAUGAAAACAAAUCAUCUGCAGAGGAUGGGGACGAAGGAUCAGAUUCUGAUGACCUGGAUUUUAUUACAUCAUCCGAUGAGUCUGAACCUUCAAAGAAGAAAAGGUCUGAAUCAAAGAACAAAAAUACCGUCAAUGACCUUGCGUUGCCUUCGGAUGACUCAGAGGAUGAUGACUUUGAUCCAGAAGGUCCAAAUUCCAGUGAAGACCAAAAGACCAAAACAAACUCAGACGAGUCAGACUUCACAUCUGAUUCUGAUGAUUUCUGUGCUGAGAUUUCUAAAUCUUCUGGCAAGGAUAAAGUUUCGGCACCUUCAUUCUCAGACCAAACUAAUGGAGUGGACAUUAUGGAAGCAGAGCUAGAGCAAGACUCUGUGCUACCAGCUUCAAAUAGGCGACAAGUUGGACAUUUGGAUUACAAAAAGCUUUAUGAUGAGGCUUAUGGAAAAGAAACCACUGAUUCAAGCGAUGAAGAAGAGUGGUCUGGACAUAGCCCAAAUGGAAAUCCAGAAGACAGUGAUACAGAUUCAUUUGCUGGACCACUUAAGCCGGCAAAAACCAGAAGAGCACGAGGUGGGCGCCAGAACAAUGAGCGUACUCCACAGAGUGAACGGCACAGCGGUUCAGUAAGUGAACAGCAUCCUGAAGUGCUUUCCAAUGGCACCAGUAGCACGGCCAGGAAAAAAAGUUAUGGUCCUAUUGUUAAUCAGAAGCUCAAGGCAUAUUUCGAAAAAGAACCUUAUCCUAGUCGCCCAGCAAAAGAAAGUCUGGCACAAGAGCUUGGCCUGACAUUCCAUCAGAUCACUAGAUGGUUUUCUAGUACUCGUCAUUACUCAAGAGUUAGUGCUGCCAAAAAAGGGAAGCGUUUAGAAAACUAUACUGCUGAGAACAACGAUGGCAUUGCUGCGGAUAGCAUACAACAGAGAGAACCCAAUGGCAGUGUAUUGGGCAAACCAAAUGUAGAUAGAAACGGUAUUGUUUCGGAGGAAAGGAUGGCGCAAAAAAAUCUUGAUGAAGGUGAGAGAGAAGAUACUCCAUUCAGACAACAUAUCAGCUGUGAGCAGACACUAGAUGGGACUCCUCCUGCUAACAAACACAACACUGCCAACUCGAGGAAUGACACCUCGAGGAAUGCAGAAGAUACCCCACUCGGACAAGAUAUUGGCUGUGAGCAGACCGUGGCUGCUGUCAACCAAAACUGCACUAUCGGCUCGAGCAAUGUCGGCUCACCGAAAGGUGCGCCUGGAGGAAACAAGCGCCUUAAGAACUCUCCAAGGAGUGUUGGAAGCCCAAGACGUGGGUCUGCCGAGAAGAACAUUCCUGGGCUAGAACAUGUAGACGAGGCAAGGAGGAAGGCUAUACUGCGGGAGCUGAGGAAGAUGAAGGCCGCAGGCAGGUGA